AGAAGCCCAUUUGUCAUCAGCGGCAGCAUGGCAAUGUUGACCAUAUCUCUUCUGCUCUGUGCGGCCGUUGCUCUGAGUAGCGCAGCAGGCAAGACACACAGUAAGACACACAUUCUUGUUUCAGAACCUUUAUUGGAGGGAAACAUGGAGCAAACCCCCCCUAUUGUGAGGAUAUGGAUGAUGAGGGAAACACCUUUAAACAGAACCCACCUCUUGAAAGCCUUGAGGAGAUGAUGGACUUUGAGCAGACAUUGCCUCUGCAACAAUUAUGGAUUGGCCAAAUUCAAAACAGGUGCAGACUUGGUAAAUGCACACACCAAGUCAAGGGGUUGUGGCUUUCUCCAGCAAAGGAUUUGAAAUAAGACCUAACAAAAAUAAAUUAAACAUCCGAAAAAUGUCAUCAUCAAGAAAGUAAUCAAAAAAGUCAUCAUCAAGUGUCUUGCCUGCUGCACCACUCAGACCAAAGGCAGCAGAGAGCAGAAGAGAAAUGGUUGACAUCGCCAUGGGGAUGAUGGGGUCCUAAAUACUAGAUAGACAGUCAGGGGAAAAUAAUGGCAGAAACAAUCAGAAUUCAGUGAAAAAAAUAAAAUAACAGCAAAGUAAA